rnacentral:lncRNA from 1 species
GGGUAUCUAUGCAGACAUUUGAGGUGCCUCAUUCUCUGUUUCCGAUCAUUUGUGUACGUGUUUCAAUUUUAUUACUUCCUGUGUUUCUCUUAUUUCUUUACGGUUAUUAUUUUGGGAUGUCCCUUUCAUUUCUUUACAUUACCAUAAAUAUUAUCAUUACACCCACUAUAUUCCCCCACUAUCUCAUAUUUAACAAUAAAAACUACUAUUACACCCACUACUUUCCUCCACUAUCUCAAAUUUAUUAUUAAAUAUUGAUGGGUCCCACCACUUUACCCACUUUUCAUCUAACUUUACUCAUUUUUCAUACAUUGUCUUGGUCUCCGUGUCCCCCCUCCAAUGUAAACAAUUGAGGGGGACGGAGGGAGUAAAGGUUUUCUUUCUUUAAUGUUUUUGAAAUAAAUUGAAUGCAAUAUAAAAAAUCGUACAAAUUAUGGGCCGACACCACAUAAAACAGAACUCAACAAUUACAACUCGAAUUAAACUGCCACAUUCAAAAAUCACCUAUUCACAAAAAUUUAUCUACAAGUGUGAUUCUUUUUUUUUUUUUUAAGGUCUACAUUCGUAGAUGAAUUGUAUCGAAAUACAAUAAACUGCAUCUGGGAUUUCUUUCUUUCAAGAAAGUUUAUCAUCUAACCGAAAGUCAUGCAAGCAUAACUCCGGACGCUUAGACAAUAAAGCUUAAAUGAAUUGGAAAAGAAAAACCCAUAAGUCCCGUAACAGCUCGCUUCCAAAGUAUCCUGAAAAAAACAAAUCAAACAAAACAUAAAUCAAUACACAAGAAAAUCACGGGCAUAUAUAUAAACAAAAGAUUAUAUAUAACAAAAAUAGAUAGAAAAUAAAAUAAUAUAAAAAUAUUAAUUAAUUUCUAACCAAAGGAUAAUCCUUUGGUUAGACACAUGAAAAUUAAAAAUUUAAGUGAAGAAUAAAAACAAAGUUUAAAACGUAAUUAAAUAUAUUAAAUAUAAUGAUCUACAAAAUGGUAAACAAAGCCAUAAAAAUCGCAUCCAUAAGUGGAACAAAAAGCCAUCAACGGCAUAAUGAAGCCAUUAAAGGCACAAUAAAAUCAUUCUUAAUGACUCUCAUAAAUGGCACUGAAUAUUCAUAAAAAGUAUUUAUCCAAUCACAAUCAUAAUUUAAAAUGUAGCUAUUCAAAUUAAUGCUAAUAGAGACAAAUAAUAAAUAGUCAACAAAACGGAUCCCGUAAUUAAAGCCAAUCCAAUUUAAAAAUAGAAUUAUAGCCUAAAAAUCAAAUUCAUAAUAAUUAUGAAUUCAAAAACGUAACGGAUUCAGCCGCCGGUACAACCACCGCUACACCACCAUCACCACCACCGACCAAGAUGUUACAUAGUUCUAACAUAUUGUGAUUUAUAAGAAAUCGAAAACAUAAAUCACAUCUAAAUGAUAAAUCAAAAACCUAAUUCACACAAAUUCACACAGACACUAAAAAAUCAAUUAAAAAGAAACAAGAUUUCAAUUUUCUUACAAACAAUACAAACAACACUAAUCUGAAUCAGUUAAAAAGAUAGAAACAGAAAUAUAUGAUAAAAGAAUAAAGGGUUGCAUCAUCAGAAUACAGACAAGAGAUUCCAUACCAAAUGAAGUUGGUUUCACACAGAACAGACACAAUAACACAAGUUGUAGCAUAAGAAGAACAAAGAAUCUGUGUGUGUGUGAGUGUGUGAAUCAGUAGAGAGAUUUAGUAUUAGUACGUAUCUGCCAACAUGAGAGGGGGAGGUUCGAAGAGGAAGUGAAAGACCACGAGUUUUGUCGGUAGUGUGCCUGAAAUCAAUCUCGGAGAGUCCGGGAGCGGCGAUAACUUGAACGGGAUCGCCCGAGCAUGGAUGAGAUGAUGGGAUGGAUUUGAACAUUUGCACCAUGUUUGUUUAAAAAUGCUCUAAUCCGUUUCCUAGAUAUAAUUAGGGUUAUAUGUAUAAAUAUACUUAAAAUUUGGAAUUUUGAAUAAAAUUGUAAUUGGCUUCUGUUGAAGAUUGGUAUGGAAGUCUUGAGUUUGGGUGUGGCAGGAGGGAGGGCGGAGCAUCGUCCGGCGGCUAACGCCGGCGAACGCCGCGAGCGGAGUGGUGCAAGGCGGUGGUGGGCUUGAACAGUAGAGAGAUGGGCUGUUCUGGUAGAGGCCGCCGGAGCGGUGUCGGUUGGCCGGCGGCACUGAUGGUGAUAGGUGGAAAAGAUAGAGGAGAAUUGAAUGAAUAUAGUGUGAUUCUUUUUAGAUUACAAAGAAUAGCAAUAUGAGAAAUUACUACAACCAGCAAACAAAAUGCAGGCUCUUGAGGACCUGGUUAGAUUGAAUUUGCGCAGGACCUGUCAAAUGCAAAUUUAACAGUCAUAUUGCAAAUAUUUAUGUAAACCAUUAAUAAUAGAGAUAAAUAUCAAGUUGGUGACUCGUUUCGUCCAAAUGUAUCAAUUGAGUGACUGAUUUCCAAAUUGACUCAAAUUAGACACUCAUUAGAAAAAUUUGUAUUAAAAAUAUUACUCUAUCGUUAGUCGAAAUUUUGAAAAUAUUAUAUAUUGAGUUUCACACAUUUUUUAUGAAUGAUAUUACAUCCGAAUGAAAGAUUCUGAGUCCUACUAUUUUUGCUAAUAUUUUUAGAUUUUUAAAAUUUUAUCAACUAUUUAUUUUUAAUUUUUUGAUUGUUUUAUUUGAUUUAAAUAAAAAUAAAUAGGAGAUAAAUUUUUAAAAAUCUAAAAAUAUUAUCUAAAAUACUAGAACUCGGAAUCUUUCAUUUAGAUGUAAUACCAUUCAUAAAAAAUGUGCGAAACUCAAUAUAUAGUACUUUCAAAAUUUCGACUAACGAUAGAGUGAUAUUUUUGAUACAAAUUUUUCUAAUGCGUGACUCAUUUGAGUCAAUUUAAAAAUCAGUCACUCAAUUGAUACAUUUGGACGAAACGAAUCACCAACUUGAUAUUUAUCCCAAUAAUAAUAAUAAUAUCUUAAUUGCAUUUGAAGGGCCUCAGAGAUCUUGGUGGACAGAUAUCAUCAGAUGGAGCAUAAACCCCAUCAAGAGUAGCAAAUAUCUUUCUUACAUCACCAGCCCACUUUUAAUCAUGAAAAAAUAUUCAAAAAAAAUAAUUUGAAAUAAGGAGAGUUAGAGCAACUCCAACAGCUUACUUAUAUCAUGUCCUAAAUCCAAUUAUAAGGAAUGUGACAUAAAUUAGUGCUCCAGCAGUGUCUUAAGAAUAUGUCCAAUUAUAAGGAAUGUGACAUAAAUUAGUGCUCCAGCAGUGUCUUAAGAAUAUCUUAAAUCACUACGAUCCUCCUUCCAUGCCUUAUUAAUGAGGCACCACUAGCCAUGCCUUAUUUGAUUUCUUUAAUAAAAAAAUCAUCUCUCUCUUAUUGUAACUUAUUUUCUCUCUCUUCCUUCCAUCUUUUAUCAAUCUCUUUCCAAAUUUAUUAUUAUAAUAAUAAUAAGAAAUGAAUUAUAAAGAUCAUUGUUGGAGUUGAAAUACAAAAUCUUGUCCUAAAUCACUAGGAUUCAAUAUUUUAUACUCCCUCCGUCUCCCUGAGUAGUAUACAUUGGGGGACGGGGACGCGGCACGGACUUUAAUGCUCCUGCAAAGUGUAGUUGUGCAAUCUAUUUUUAAAAUUUUUCUUUUCUGAAUUAAAGUUUGGAUGUUAUAUUUUUAUACAAAAAAAGAAAAUCUCAAAAAUAAGUUACGAAACUAUAUUUUAUAAGAGCAUUGAAAUGCGUGUCGAGCAGUUAAAAAGAAAUGUAUAGAAUUAAAUGGGACAGAGGGAGUAAUAUUUAUAAUGAAGACACUAAGACACUGCUGGAGAUGCUCUUAGAUGGUAAACAUGGAUAAUUCAUAGGGAAUAAAAAUGAUUUUUUCAUCACACUUUUCAAGUAUUUUAUAAAAAACAAAUCAAACAAUUUUAUAUACCCUGUCACCAAAGAAUUCUAUUCAGAAAAAUUCAGAGAUAAAGCUAGUAGCAUAUACAUAAAUAAAUACAUAUAUGCUACAUAUCUUUGUCACCUAAGAGAAUCUCCAACUCCAAAAACCCUUAGCUAAAAUUAUACAUGUGACAUCUAGGAGGCAUCUAGAUCACUAGAUAAUACUUAUAAAAAUUAUCUAAAAAUUAUACAACUCCAACCAUGUUUAGUUGACUAUAUUUGUCGAAUCAAAUAAGCCCCGGAAUAUAUUUUUAUACGAGCAAAUUUAUAAAUAAUCUUUUUGAAGCCUAUACAUGUUCUCAUAGCAAAAAAUUUACAUAAUCCAUAUACCCAUCAAUAUAACCAGAGAUUCUCUAACGAUACUUUCGAUGGAACUCGAUUCAGGAAUUGCAAUAGUAGGCUUCGAAAAUACACAAAAUCUUCAUACAAAUCAAAAAAAAAAAUGUAGUUUCCCAACGUCCAAAUGAACCAUUACGAGACGAGUAGCGUGAGAACAAUAUUUUAUAGCAUCACAAGUACAAAUACUUGCAAUUAAAUAAAAAAAAGGAAUUAGUCAAGCAAAUAAAGCACACAAAAGAAAUAUAGACUCGUCACCGUUGUCCAACAUCGAAUUCACUAACGUAAACACUUGUAAAAAUGGAUAUAAGCAUGUUUGUUUGUAAUAUAUAGCUGUUUUUAUGGUCUCCAAACUAAACAGACAGGGAGGAUAUAAAAGAAAAAACAGCACUCUAAAUGUUGCUUCAAGGGAACGAGUCGUUAAGAAACUGAUUUAAUUCUUCGACCAGAUAAAGAAGCCUUUGCUUGUGUCUUGUAUUUUUUAUAAAAGUUUUUUUACCUUGAUCUUUUUUAGUACAAAUUCGGAUCAAUAAUUUUUAUAUUAAAACAAAAAAGAAAUAACCUCACAUGUAUCAUAUCUUUAAAGAUAGACAGUAGUAUUAACUCCAAAUUUUCUUUCAUUUCUCAUUAAAGGCCACAUCUUCAAUAAGUACAUCUACAGUCAUCUUCUACAAUAAUUUUUGACGAAAGAAAAUAAUGUCCACGGAAUGGAUUCAUUAAUUUACAAGUUAUUGUAGUUUUAAAUGGUAUAUCCAUGAUUUUCGAAAUGACAUCGAAUUUAUAUACCAAUGGUUAUUUAUCACCUAUAAAUGGAUAAAAUAGGCCUCAUAAAACAGAUCUCAUUACAAAUUAAAGUGCCACAUUCAAAAAUUAUCUGUUCUCAAAAGAUUUAACUACAACAAUAUGAUUCUUCAAAAAAAAAAACACUAUAACAAUAUGAGAAAUUAUUACAUCCAGCAAAAAAUAUUCAAAAACAUUAGUAUUUGUUCAACUUCAAUAAGCAGGCAGCAACUUAAGGACUUGGUGAAUUAAGCAAGAACUUUCUAACACCAAUGUAGCAGUCAGUUUCAAAGUCACUCACAAAGAAGUAAAAAUUCAUAUAACAUAUAUAUAAUACAAUUCAAAAAAAAAAAAACAAUUAACAUAUUAACUGCAUUAGAAGGGCCUCAGAGAUCUUGGUGGAUAGAUAUCAUCAGAUGGAGUUUAAACUCCAUCAAGAGUAGCAAAUAUCUUUCUUACAUCACCAGCCCCAUUUUAAAUAUCAAAAAAAAUAUUCGAAAACAAUAAUUUGAAAAGGAGAGUCAGAAGUAGCUGGUUGGUAAACAUGGAUAAUUCAUAGGGAAUCCGAAUGAUUUUUUCAUCACACUCUCCAAAUAUUUUACACAAACACAAUUCAAACAAAUGUAUCUACCUUGUCACCAAAGAAUUCUAUUGAGAAUAAUUCGGAGCUAAAGGUAGAAGCACAUACAUAUAUAAAUACAUACAUACUACACAUCUCUAUCGCCUAACGAUAGAUCCCUUAAAUCCACCCGAGUUGGAAUUCGAUUCAGGAAUUGCAAUAUUAGGCUUCAAAUAUACAAAAAAAAAAAAAAAAUCAUACAAAUCAAAUACAAAAAUGUAGUUUCCCAACGUCCAAAUGAACCAUUACGAGACGCACCGGAUAGCGAGGGGAACAUUUAUUCUAGCUUCACAUGAACAAAUAUUUGCAAUUAAAUGAAAUAACAGCAAAUUAAUCAGGAAAGUAAAGCACACAGAAUAAAUCAAAAAAAAAAUAAAGGAGGAUAGAACAACUCAGUCCCUUAGAUGUUCAUUAAAAUUGCGAUCAUAUUCGCACAUCAUUACAGGUCUGUAUAGACUCAUCACCGUUGUCCAACCUCGAAUUCACUAACGUAAGAACUUGUAAGAACAGAUAUAAGCGUGUUUGUUUGUAUGUAUAUAGCUGUUUUGAUGAUCUCCAAACUAAACAGAGAGACAGGGAGAAUCGAAAGAAAAAAACAGCACGCUAAAUGUUGCUUCAAGGGAACGAGUCGGUAAGAAACUGAUUAAUUCUGCCGACCAGAUAAAGAAGCCUUUGGAAAACCAGAUCUGUGAAACAGAAGAUUAGUUACAUGAGAGAGAUAGCGGCGAGAAGAAUGAAAAUAUUAGAACCCUAACUGAGAUUGUAUUGUGCGGAUAGAUGUGAAUUCCAUGUGGCGAGAGGCUUUUGUUUAUAUAGACCAAGCCUGUCACACCUUGGGCUAGGUUACGGUCUUUUUUCUGGUCCAUUGGGUUUGUGGUGUCUCCAGGCCCAGUUUAAGAGAU